rnacentral:rRNA from 1 species
AGGGCACCACCAGGAGUGGAGCCUGCGGCUUAAUUUGACUCAACACGGGAAGUCUCACCAGGCCCGGACACCGGAAGGAUUGACAGAUUGAAAGCUCUUUCUUGAUUCGGUGGGUGGUGGUGCAUGGCCGUUCUUAGUUGGUGGAGCGAUUUGUCUGGUUAAUUCCGAUAACGAACGAGACUCUGGCCUACUAAAUAGACAUUGGAUCAUUUAUGGUCCAUUGCUGCUUCUUAGAGGGACGGGCGGCUUAUAGCCGCACGAGAAUGAGCAAUAACAGGUCUGUGAUGCCCUUAGAUGUUCUGGGCUGCACGCGCGCUACACUGAAGGAAUCAGCGUGUGUACCCUGUCCRAAAGGACUGGGAACCCGUUGAACCUCCUUCGUGAUGGGGAUUGGGGAUUGCAAUCAUUCCCCAUGAACGAGGAAUUCCCAGUAGGCGCGAGUCAUAAACUUGCGUCGAUUACGUCCCUGCCCUUUGUACACACCGCCCGUCGCUACUACCGAUCGAGUGUUUUAGUGAG